AUUUUUGUCACAAACAGUAUUUUUGGACUAUGUUUCACAUAAGUCACAUCGGGCUUUGAUGGUAACCCAUAGUAACACUCGCACUCUUGACUCUUGAUCGAGACAAAUUUUAGAGGGUUUUUUUUCUUUUAAAAAGUGACUGUUCUGAAUGUAAAGUUAGUUGUGGUAUCUUUUAAAACAAUUACGGUCAUGUGUAAAGCAGAGGCGAAGAUCAAAUUUCUCGCAGAGCGUGUCCGUAUUAUUUAUGAAUCCACAGUAGCUGGACGAGUGUUGACUCUGGCUCUGUUUUACGGGUGCUGGCAGUGGGUCUGUUACCAACAAGAAGUCCCAUCUUCAAUCCUGUGGUACGCUCAGAUAGUUCCUUCAUUGUUAAUGGUGCUGGACAGAGGUCAUGGCAAUUGGCAAGAAAAAAACGCUUUGUCGUUCAAAUGGGAUCAAAAAAUGAGAUCCUGUGUGCAUGAGAAAAAAUCCAUGACCUUUGAAUUUACUGAAAAGGCGAUGGAAACAGCACUGUCCAGACAAAAUGACCCUGUAGACUGUGUAGCAACGGUCUAUCCCAGUCGUCAUUUACCUGGUUGGUGUAAAAAAAAAAAGAUAUAUGCUGUUAAACCCCAUUUUAUUCUUUUUCAUUUCUGUCUGGAGUGGAUGUUAAACACCAUCUGUCAUUCUUAUUGUAUUAUCCCAGGUCUGAUGUUUACCACAUGUUAGUCUUAGUAUGACCUCUCUCUCUCUCUCUCUCUCUCUCUCUCAUCCAAAGUCAGUUGACUUGAGGCUGUUUAAUUUUUUAUUAUUAUUAUUAUCCAGAGACAAUAUAUUUAAAUUUGUUGCACUGGUUAAAUCUCUGAUCUACAACAAUACAAUAUUGGUGUUUUAUUGUUUAAUUGAUCCUCUGUCCUUCUCUUGUAUUAUUAUUAUUAUCCAGGAACAAUUUAUUUAAAUUUGUUGCACUGGUUAAAUCUUUGAUAUACAACAAUACAAUACUGGUGUUGUUUAAUUUAUCCUCUGUCCACCUCUUGUUACCAAAAGUAUAGAUCCAGAUAGACAAGUGUUGGGACUUGGGAUUCACAGUAGCUGGAGGAAUGUUAGCUCUGGCUCUGUUUUAAUUGAAAAGCAAGAAAACUAUAAAAUUGGGGAUAUCGGCUUACUUAUAUCACUCAAGUCAACAAAUUUAAAAGCAGUACAUUUAUAUCUUCCAAAGUUUUUCAAAGUUCUGUUGGACCUUUUUACUGGGAACGGUAUGCAUAGUGUACCUGAUAAUUAUGACUCCUUGAUAAAUCAAAGUUUAUGCACACCGAUUCGAUUCGUGCAAUGUGAUGAACUCUAUAGCAAUUGUGGCUCUCAUUGAAGCACAAACAAUCAUCACACUUUUCACACGCAGUGUCAGUAUAGCCAUCUUUACACAAUACAUAUCGCCCGUGCUGUUAAAUCCCAUUUCAUUUCUUCUAAACCAAUCGACAGUCGUCAAUAUCAUGGCUGUCAUAUUUAUCAGUUUUAUGAUGAUUCGAAUAUUGUAGAGACAGCUUCUGGAUUUGUUCUUUUCUUGACUUGAAUUUUUUGCCAAGUUUGUUUGAUUUAUUGAAGCUGGUCACUCGUACUUGUGGUAGAUGAUCACCUUUCUUUUGCGCCCAUUUAGUGUGAACUAACCCUAACCCUGUCUUUCAUUCUCCACCCCCACUCCUGCAAAAUCGAACCAGUGUGAUUAGACUUCUGUAAAACUAGGAAUAUAAGAUAUCAUUGUUGUGUUUCCUCGUUCUCAAUAAAGUAUAGAUAAUAGCUGCUCAGAAUAUCUGGGUGAGCUCUGAGGUAUUUCACUCAACACCCUCUUUUAUAACCCCCUAAUUUCUGUACAUCAAAGAGUGACCUUGGCGGUAAUUUCCUUCCCAAACAUUGAAUAAACAUUCCCAUUCCCCAAAGAGCGGGGGGGAAAACAUUACCUUAUUUGGUCUACCAAACACAUGUCAUAAACAAGAUAGUAUUUGAUGGAUAUUUUGACAAUGGUAAGGAUUUUACCAAAAUAUCACUGUUUUUGAUAUGUAAAUAUAUCAUUCAAAUUCAUUAAGUACAUGUAAUUUGACUCUAUAGAAAGUGUGAACCAAAUACUUAAAGAUACAAUAUGGUCACAAGGACCAUAGUAUUACACUAUAUACAUCAUGGUCUUCUCUCUCAAUCUCAAUGGCAUCUGAUUAACUCUAAUUUUCAUCUUUUAUAUUCUCUGAUUUCUCCUAUUAAUUAGUGAAUGGUUAAUUUGUGUGCAUUGACAGAAGAAUUAGCCAAAUAUGAACAUUGGGCUUGACAGCCAUCCAGAUAAAUUUCCAUUUAAAGUGUGAUUACAAUUUCACAUGCAUGAUGAAUGACAUGCUGUCUUUUGCGGACUUGUAUCAUGAGGUCAUGCCAAUAUAUCAAAAUAUCAUCCAUUUCCAUUGAAUUACAUGUGUAGUACUAUAGGACUUCUUAUUGUUGUGUUUACUUUCUGGUGAUCUUUAAUAAGACUACAGCAUAAAAUAGUUUCACAAUUUUAUUUCUAAGUUGUAAUGGCUUUGCAGGUUCCUCGUUCUCAAUGAUAAUAGCUGCUAGGAAUUUCUGGGUGAGCUCUGAUCCAACUUGCUUCUACACCCUAAUUUAUACCCCCUAAUUUCUGCAGGUCUAAGAAAACCUUGACGUUAAUUUCCAACCCAUAUAAACUUCUUUAUUUCCCACAAGUUCGAUAGGAGACAUUACCUAUUUUUGGUCUACCAACAAUAGGUCAAUAAACAGCCAGAAUUUGAUGGGUACUUUGACAAUGAUUAUGAUUUAACCAAAAUAUCACUGUUUUUUUUAUGUAUAACUAUAUAUUCAUGUUCAUUAAAUACGUGUGAUUUAACUCUAUAGACAGAGUAAAGUAACAAUUUGGCAAUGAACCAAAAUUGUCUCAAGGACCAAAUAAAACAUGUUUACGAAUUUGAAAACAAUAUUUAGGUUGCGGCUAUAAUGUGGUUACAUUUGGUACUAGUUUCCCAGGGGGUGUUGGUCUUGUAGUAGUUUCUAUUGGGGUGUUGGUCUUGUACCUGUCUUGUAGUGGUUUUUCUGGUGGUACUGGUCUUUUACUAGUUUCUCUACUGGUGUUGGUCUUCUACUGGUCUUGUAGUAGUUUCUCUACUGGUGUUGGUCUUCUACUGGUCUUGUAGUAGUUUCUCUUGAGGUGUUGGUCUUCUACUGGUCUUGUACUAGUUUCUCUACUGGUGUUGGUCUUCUACUGGUCUUGUAGCAGUUUCUCUACUGGUGUUGGUCUUGUACAAGUUUCUCUACUGGUGUUGGUCUUCUACUGGUCUUGUAGCAGUUUCUCUACUGGUGUUGGUCUUGUACUGGUCUUGUAGCAGUUUCUCUACUGGUGUUGGUCUUCUACUGGUCUUGUACUAGUUUCUCUACUGGUGUUGGUCUUCUACUGGUCUUGUACUAGUUUCUCUACUGGUGUUGGUCAUCUACUGGUCUUGUAGCAGUUUCUCUACUGGUGUUGGUCUUGUACUGGUCUUGUAGUAGUUUCUCUACUGGUGUUGGUCUCGUAGUAGGUUCUCUGGUGAUUUUGGGCUUGUAAAAUGGUGGUAUUAUUGAGUUUAUGAAACAGAAAUAUAUCAAUUUUGGUCAUUAGAAUUCUUGAAAUUUUUAGUACCAUGAUAAACUAUGAUAAUUGUAGAUUAGUAAGUAAAAAAAUCUAUUCCUCAGAGAGGCCAAUUUCUUACAUCAAUCUUGUUGGUUUCUUAUAAUUUAUAUUUUAUGUAUCAACAUGGAAGAGGAAAAUAUGUUCUUAUUUUAAUUUUUUAACUAAAGAUAUCAUAAAUUCAUCUUUUCUACUGGUUGUAUUUUUGACAUACAACAACAAAUGUGACAAUCCUCUGGGUGCAUAUUUUUAUAUGUAGUUUGUAUUUACCAGUCAGAGGAGAGAGACCAUUGAGUGAUCCGACAUCUUGGCAUUAGAUCAUCUUGGCUAUAAGUGCCUGGGUAAAAGUGAAUUGUUGAUUUACGAUACUUUAGUCCCCUAAUGCCCAAGUUUGCCUGGAGUGGAUGUUAAAACACCGUCUCUCAUUCUUAUUGUAUUAUCCCAGGUCCGAUGUUUACCACAUCUUAGUCCUAGAAUGACCUAGUGCAUGAUCAACACUCGCUCUCUCUCUCUCUUUCCCUCUCUCUGUUUCUCUCUCUCUCCCAAAGUCAGUUGACUUGAGGCUGUUUAAUUUUUAUUGUUAUUUUCCAGGGACAACUUAUUUAAAUUUGUUGCACUGGUUAAAUCUCUGAUAUACAACAAUACAAUAUUGGUGUUUUAUUGUUUAAUUGAUCCUCUGUCCUUCUCUUGUAUUAUUAUUAUUAUCCAGGGACAAUUUAUUUAAAUUUGUUGCACUGGUUAAAUUUUUGAUAUACAACAAUACAAUACUGGUGUUUUAUUGUUUAAUUGAUCCUCUGUCUUUCUCUUGUAUAGGCCCACAUGGUACCAUAGUCUAGGCUGUACAUGGUGCUGUGGUCUAGGCCUUGCUUGGUACCGUACUACAUAGUCUAGGCCUUGCUUGGUACCGUACUACAUAGUCUAGGCCUUGCUUGGUACCGUACUACAUAGUCUAGGCCUUGCUUCAUACAUGGAAUUAAUGUCACACAUCUUCAAUUCCUCCAGUGUUUUGUUCUGUUUGUUUUUAUCAAGCAGAACACCCUUUUAAUACCUAAAUGGGUUAAUUCUAAUUACCUAAAUGUAACUUGUGUAAUGUUGGGUAAUGAUAGGUACACAUGUAUUACUGUAAUGAUGGGUACUUGUGUAUUACUGUAAUGAUAGGUACAUGUAACUUGUGUAAUGUUGGGUUGUUAAAAUGCAUUUGUGUAAUGUUGGGUUGUGAACAUGUGACUUGUAUAAUGUUGGGUUGUGCACAUGCGACUGGUGUAAUGUUGGGUUGGGUUGUGCAAAUGGCACUUGUGUAAUGUUGGGUUGGGUUGUGCACAUGCAACUUGUGUAAUGUUGGGUUGUGCACAUGUAAUGUGCCUAAUGUUGGGUUGUGCACAUGUAAUGUGUGUAAUGUUGGGUUGUGCACAUGUUACAUGUUUGUUACUGUAGAUUUUUAUUAUUAUUAUCCAGGGACAACUUUUUAAAAUUCUGAUGCACUGGUUAAAUUUUUGAUAUACAACAGUAAAAUAUAGGUGUUUGUUCAUUUUAGUCCUCUGUCUUCUUGCUACCAUAAGUGUAUAGGUCCACAUGUUGCCGUAAUCUAGGCGUUGCUUGCUACAGUAAUCUAGGUCUUGCUUGGUACAUGGAAUUAAUCUCACACUUCUCAAAUACCUUCAUUGUUUUGGGUUGUCCUAAAUAGCACACCUUUUUAAUACCUGUAUGGGGUAAUUGUAUUUAUUACUGUAAUCUUAAGUGCUGGCUACAUGUAACCUUGUGUAUUACUAUAUUCCUUCAGUCAGGUACUACCCUAAUGCUGUGUGCAUGUAACGAGGUUACUACUGUAAAUCUGGGUACAUGUAACUUUUGUAAUGUUAUAUAUAAAUAUCUAACUUGUGUAAUGUUAUCUACAUGUAACUUGUGUAAUACUGGCGCGCAGUAUCAUAAGGUCUGUCAUUGUGUCAACUGGUGGGGUUUUCUCCGGGUCCUCCGGUUUCCUCCCACUGGUAAAGACCCCUACGUGCAAGCGAAUUAUUGAAAUAAAAUUGAACCAUGUGUUAACUCCAUUUCUCUCUCUCUCCCUCUCCUCCAGUAAUAAGUGAAUUUCAAUAAUAAGUGAAUUAUUGAAAUAAAAUUGAACCAUGUGUUAGUCCCAAAUGACCUAGUUUGUGUUGUGUGGAUGUUAAACCCCAUUUCUCUCUCUCACUCUCGCUAUAAACAUCUAAGUUGUGUAAUACUAUAAACCAGAAAUGCUGGGUAUAUCUUCCUUGUGUUUUACUAUAAUGCCAAGUUAGAUUAUCAGGUCUCUUUUUGUUAUUAAUAACUGAAAUUUUAUUUUUUCUCUCCCAUCAGUGAAUUGGUGUAUUAGAUUUCUAUAUUUCUAUAUUACCUUAUAUAUAGCUAGGAAUAUUUUGAUUUAGUGUAUUUUGAUAUGUUAUAUUACCAUUGUUGCCUUCUCUAUUUCUAACUAACUUCAUCAGGGAUGAUAUUGAUAUUUUGAGUUAAGUUAUAAUGUUUUGCAUACAGACCCAUAAUAUUUUGAGUUAAGUUAUAAUAUUUUGUAUACAGACCCAUCAUAUUUUGAGUUAAGUUAUAAUAUUUUGUAUACAGACCCAUGAUAUUUUCUUAAUGCUUUUCAAAUGUACUCCACGAAUUAUCUGUCUUAAGACAAACCCUCAAAACUUAAUUUAUAGGAUUCUGUUUUGGACCGACCAGUAACAACCGGAUGUCCUGGUCUUGGUAGACCUGUGUUUCAGUCAUAGAUGUUAAAUAGGGCCAAAUAGUAGAUAACUGGUUUAAAAACAUUGUGCUUUCCAUUGGUCUAUUCCCUCAUUUCCCUAGUGUUGUAGGAGUAAACUGUCAAUCAAAUAUAAUUGUAUAUUCAGUUUGAACUUUGACCUAUCAAGUAUUUCAUUGAUUUAUGACCUUACAUGUAUUUCAUCCAACUAUUAUGACCUAACAUAUUUUUCAUUGAACUAUGACCUGCAAAUAAAUAAUGUGUGUAUAUGUAUGUUUAUAUAUCUUGUUGUAUAUUGUGAUAAUCUAUUAAAUAUGAAAUAAUAAAACAAUCAUAUAUAUAUAA